GACGAACGCUGGCGGCGUGCUUAACACAUGCAAGUCGAACGGAAAGGCCCUGCUUGUGUGGGGUUCUCGAGUGGCGAACGGGUGAGUAACACGUGAGUAACCUGCCCUUCACUUUGGGAUAACUUCACGAAACUGGGGCUAAUAUCGUAUAGGAGCUCCUGCUGCAUGGUGGGGGUUGGAUAGUUUCGGCGGGUGGGGUUGGACUCGCGGCUUAUCAGCUUGUUGGUGGGGUAGUGGCUUACCAAGGCUUGGACGGGUAGCCGGCCUGAGAGGGUGACCGGCCACAUUGGGACUGAGAUACGGCCCAGACUCCUACGGGAGGCAGCAGUGGGGAAUAUUGCACAAUGGGCGGAAGCCUGAUGCAGCAACGCCGCGUGCGGGAUGACGGCCUUCGGGUUGUAAAACGCUUUCGCCUGUGACGAAGCGUGAGUGACGGUAAUGGGUAAAGAAGCACCGGCUAACUACGUG
rnacentral:rRNA from 1 species